CUCAUUUCCUAAGUCCUCAGUCUGUAACCUGAACUUCUGCGAUUUACAAAGCUAAGGGCACAGUCAUCAUGGAAAUGUCAUGGCACUGUCAUCACCAGAACUGCCUAGUUAUCACAAAUCGCUGACAAAAUAUAGUUUCAUGACUGAACAAGAGGAAUAACAUCAGGUAUACUUUGAAGUGUGUUAUACUAGGCAUUGAUUUUGUGUAGACAAAAGGAGGUAUUGGGCCCCCAAUUGGGCCCUCAAUACAAGAAAGACAGAGCUGUUGUAGAGGGUCCAGAGGAGGGCCACAAAGAUUAUCAGGGAGCUGGAGCACCUCCCCUACAAAGACAGGCUGAGGGAGCCGGGAUUGUUCAGCCUGGAGAAAAGAAAGCUGUGGGGUGACCUAAUUGCAGCCUUCCAGUACCUAAAGGGAGCAUACACAAACAGGAGGGGAGUCAACUCUUUACAAGGGUAAAUGGUUUUAAACUGAGGGAGGCAAGAUUUAGGUUGGAUAUCAGGGGGAAGUUCUUUACUGAGAGAGUGGUGAGGUGCUGGAACAGGCUGCCCAGAGAGGUUGCGGAUGCUCUGUCCCUGGAGGUGUUCAAGGCCGGGUUGGAUCAGGUCCUGGGCAGCCUGGUCUAGUAUUAAAUGGGGAGGUUGGUGGCCUUGCCUGUGGCAGGGGAGUUGCGGCUUGUUGAUCUUUGAUGUCCCUUCCAACCUGGGCCAUUCUGUGAUUCUGUUAUCAUGCCUUAAUGAUGAUGAUUUUAAAGGCAUAAGCAGUAGGAAGAACAGAUUUGUUGAAUGUUUGAACUCUUUGUGCUCUCUGGUGCUGUGCAACAGGCAAUGCUUAAAAAUGGAAUCCUCUUUCCUCUUGCAGCCCCUUUCUUGGUGAUUCCUCAGAGGGAUGAAGCCAUGCCCAGAGCCCGCUGGUGAAUGGGCAGCUGGAACCCAGCAGUGAGAGCAGGAGCUGGGGUGGCAAGCUUGAGAGGCUGCUGGCAGGACAUCUGCCCAAAGGCAGGAAAGAAGGGGGAGGGAGGGAGAAAAACUGAAAAAUAAUCACAAAGAAAACAAGCCCUUUUUUGAAAUUGAAAACUUUAAGGAGAUUUAUGAACCUUUGGGUUUAUGAAACCACUUGGUGCUUUGGAGUUUGCUGCUGGACAAGUCUGACAGUUCAAAGCAUGGUGGCUGUUUCCCUCCAUUAAAAAAAAAAGAAAAAAGAAAGAAAGAAAGAAAAAAGCCUUUUAGAAUAGUUUAAUUGCAAAUGUGCAUUGAUCUUGUAAAACUCAUGCUCUGAGCUAACUUGUAAAAAUCAGGGAGAGUCAGGAGAAAAAGCCUGUUGCUUUUUAAGUGCAGAGUUACUAU
ensembl:lncRNA